GGUUAUGGCUCAGUGGUAGAGCACUCACCUAGCACAUGCGAGGCCCUGGGUUCAAUCCUCAGCACCA
rnacentral:tRNA from 1 species